ensembl:ncRNA F53B1.10 ncRNA
GGCUUUUUUGGAUUUUUAAGCCUUUUUGGCUAUUUAGGCUUGUUAGGCUUUUUAGGCUUUUUAGGCUUUUUAGGCAUUUCUAG